CAGUAGCCGCGUGAAUACGUAGGGUGCAAGCGUUAAUCGGAAUUACUGGGCGUAAAGCGUGCGCAGGCGGUUAUAUAAGACAGAUGUGAAAUCCCCGGGCUCAACCUGGGAACUGCAUUUGUGACUGUAUAGCUAGAGUACGGCAGAGGGGGAUGGAAUUCCGCGUGUAGCAGUGAAAUGCGUAGAUAUGCGGAGGAACACCGAUGGCGAAGGCAAUCCCCUGGGCCUGUACUGACGCUCAUGCACGAAAGCGUGGGGAGCAAACAGGAUUAGAUACCCCGGUAGUCCCUGUCUCUUAUAC
rnacentral:rRNA from 1 species